GCCUCAAGUGAUGAUUAUUGGAGGUAGAGCACUGUUUGGACGAGGGGCCCCUCUCGGGUUACCGAAUUCAGACAAACUCCGAAUGCCAAUUAAUUUAACUUGGGAGUCAGAACAUGGGUGAUAAGGUCCGUGUUCGAAAGGGAAACAGCCCAGACCACCAGCUAAGGUCCCAAAAUAUAUGUUAAGUGGAAAAGGAUGUGGCGUUGCCCAGACAACUAGGAUGUUGGCUUAGAAGCAGCCAUCAUUUAAAGAGUGCGUAAUAGCUCACUAGUCGAGUGACACUGCGCCGAAAAUGUACCGGGGCUAAACAUAUUACCGAAGCUGUGGAUUGUCCUUUGGACAAUGGUAGGAGAGCGUUCUAAGGGCGUUGAAGCAUGAUCGUAAGGACAUGUGGAGCGCUUAGAAGUGAGAAUGCCGGUGUGAGUAGCGAAAGACGGGUGAGAAUCCCGUCCACCGAUUGACUAAGGUUUCCAGAGGAAGGCUCGUCCGCUCUGGGUUAGUCGGGUCCUAAGCUGAGGCCGACAGGCGUAGGCGAUGGAUAACAGGUUGAUAUUCCUGUACCACCUAUAAUCGUUUUAAUCGAUGGGGGGACGCAGUAGGAUAGGCGAAGCGUGCGAUUGGAUUGCACGUCUAAGCAGUAAGGCUGAGUAUUAGGCAAAUCCGGUACUCGUUAAGGCUGAGCUGUGAUGGGGAGAAGACAUUGUGUCUUCGAGUCGUUGAUUUCACACUGCCGAGAAAAGCCUCUAGAUAGAAAAUAGGUGCCCGUACCGCAAACCGACACAGGUAGUCAAGAUGAGAAUUCUAAGGGGAGCGAGCGAACUCUCGUUAAGGAACUCGGCAAAAUGACCCCGUAACUUCGGGAGAA
rnacentral:rRNA from 1 species